rnacentral:rRNA from 1 species
GAGACAGCAGCCGCCACGGUAAUACGGAGGGUGCAAGCGUUAUCCGGAUUUAUUGGGUUUAAAGGGUCCGUAGGCGGAUCUGUAAGUCAGUGGUGAAAUCUCACAGCUUAACUGUGAAACUGCCAUUGAUACUGCAGGUCUUGAGUAAAUUUGAAGUGGCUGGAAUAAGUAGUGUAGCGGUGAAAUGCAUAGAUAUUACUUAGAACACCAAUUGCGAAGGCAGGUCACUAAGAUUUAACUGACGCUGAUGGACGAAAGCGUGGGGAGCGAACAGGAUUAGAUACCCGCGUAGUCCCUGUCUCUUAUAA